UUCUACUACAUGAAGUUUCUUCUUCUGCCUUUUUCGAGUUUCAACCUUAUUUUUAAUCUUUUUUCGAGUCAGUAAGAUUUCCAUGACCCCAUUUUAUCAUUGUGCGCUCAUGGAGCAAUGGCAUUUGUGCGAAAAGGCUCAAACUCAGGCACCAAACAGCUUUAAGGAGGCUCUUGAUGGAGCACUGGCGAUCGUCACGUCAGCAGACAUAUAUUGUGUUUGGAGAUUGAAGAAUUACCAAACUGAUCAUACGUACCAGACUGAAAGUUAAUUAUACUGCAGCCGUCGUGCCGAUCAUAUGCAUGCGAUGGAUCGAACAGGGGCGGGCUAGCUAGCUACUACUCCGUUUGAUCAUUGAGUACCCUGUGGUGAUCGUUUUGGAUAAAAGCAGAAGACAUGAGCACAGCAGAUUC